CUGAGAGGGCCAAACCAAUGUUCAUUUUACAUAUGUUGAUGGAUGGCUCCUGUCUCCCUAAAAUGCAUGAAACCAAGCUGUGUUCUGACCGCCUUGGGCACAUAUUGUCAGGACCUCUUGAGGCUAUGUCACGGGUGUGCAUCCUCAACCUUGGCAAAAUAAACUUUCUAAAUUAACUGAGAACUGUCUCAGAUUUUGGGAGUUCACAUUUUGGUAACUGUGGAGGGAUUCUGAGUGGAGAUGCCCCUGACCUUUGAUAAAAUCUGCCGGUGCUUAGUACCAGCAUGAGCUAACCUUAUGGCUCAAACCAAUAGAAUGACUUGCUGAGGUCUGGGAACACCCUUUCCAGAGAAACCCUGAUCUCUGGUCAAGACCUAGAGUUUAUUUUGCUGUACAACUCCCCCCUACUACCAACCUUUUUUCUGAAUUUGCUUCCAACAUGGAAGACAAGAUUUCCUGUUUCCAUUACAUAGAAGGAAGAUGACUCCUUUAGGGAGUCCGAGCUCACUCCCAGCAAGGAAGAUGAAUUCGAGUUUUUCCUGCUUCUAGGAUGGCAAAAGGCAGUCUUCAGCCUGAGACCCAUCUCUAGAAACAAGAAAACAACUGUUAACCUAUCUACAGCUUUUAACAAUUGAGUGAAGUAUACUUCUAUGAACAAAAUUUUGAGCAUAUUUGUUUCUCUCUACCUGAUUUCUCCAGGAUUUGGGAACUAUUUGCUCAUAGGUGGAAGGGACUGCCUUGUCUCAGAUAAGACUUUGUACUAUGGACUUUGGAGUUAAUGCUGAAGCCUUCUCCCUAUACUCAGUUACAGCAAUGAACUCCCUUCUUUCCCAGUUUACCUGCAUCUCAUUACUGGGCUGCAAGAAUAAGCAACCUAACCUUCGGUUUGGUCCAGGAACAAGUUGAGGUAUGCCUGCCUACAGUGACAGCUACGCAGGAGACUGAGACAGGAGGAUUCCUUGAGCCCAGGAGUUUGAGGCUGCAGUGAGGUAUGAUUGCACCACUACACUCCAGCCUGGACAAA